rnacentral:lncRNA from 1 species
AACUGCAGGAGAUCAUAGCUCAGCAUGGCAUUUGCUUCCGCCAAGAAGCAGAGACAUGCUAAGGCUGGAGGCAAGAGAGGUCCUGCAGAGGAGUCCAGGGAAGGAGUCAGGGAGCCUGGCAGAGAGAAUGCCCAGCACAGAUUGACGCAAACUCUCUGCAAUGCGGUUAAAGAGGCCCCCAUUGCUUCUAUUCCUGCCUCGAGGGAGGAGUCACGGGAUCACAGGCAAAUCUCUCAUCUGAAGGAAAGUCAUGCCACACUGCCCGUUCCUUCACCGCCCAGCUGAAGCCAUCAUGUCUGGACUUCCACUGGCACUGAUUGUCAACCUGUGGUUUCCCCUCUAUUCUGCACCUUGAGCUUAUACACACACAGGAGAUAAGCGAAUAUGCAGCCUUGUGUGGAAUGCUGGCUUGUCUUCUGCUCCAGCCUGGAAGCUAUGCGAAGGGAAGAACCAUGUCUACUUUCUUUCUUGUUAUUGUUGUUUUUUAAAGAUUUAUUUAUUAAUAUAGAUAAGUACACCAGAAGAGGGCAUCAGAUCUCAUUACAGGUGGUUGUGAGCCACCAUGUGGUUGCUGGGAUUUGAACUCAGGACCUUCGGAAGAGCAGUCAGUGCUCUUACCUGCUGAGCCAUCUUCCCAGCCCCUAUGUCUACUUUCAUAAACAUUAUGAACCCAGAGUCUGACAUGUACAGGAGCCAAGAAACCUACUUAUCAAGUAUGUGAAUGUUACUGAGUAAAAAGUGGUGUGCGUGUGGCACAUGUGUAAGUAGUGUGUAUGUGUCUUAGUUAGGGUUUUAUUCUGUGAACAGACACCAUGACCAAGGCUACUCUUAUAAAGACAAGAUUUAAUUGGAGAUGGCUUACAGGUUCAGAGGUUCAGUCCAUUAUCAUCAAGGCAGGAAUGGUACAGGAGGAGCUGAGAGUUCUACCUCUUCAUCUGAAGGCUGCUAGCAGAAUACUGGCUUCCUGGCAGCUAGGAUGAGGGUCUUAAAGCCCACACCCACAGUGACACACUUAUUCCAAAAAGGCCACACUUCCAAAUAGUGCCACUCCCUGGGCCAAGCAUAUUCAAACUGACAUUGUGUGUGCGUGUGUGUGUGUGUGUGCAUGUGGUAUUUGAGUUUGGUGUAUGUAUGUGUAUAUAUGGUAUAUGUAUGUGUGGUGUAUUUAUGGUGUUCGGAAUGUGUGUACGGUGUGUGUUAUAUGCACUAGUGUGCACAUGCAGAGUCAAGAAGUUGAGUGUCUGUUCUUCACUGUAUUCCUGUGAGACAGGGACUCUCACUGAAC